rnacentral:rRNA from 1 species
AACGGCCGUACCAUGCUGAAUAUACCGGUUCUCGUUAGAUCACCGAAGUCAAGCAUCGUUGGGCGCGGUCAGUACUUGGGUGGGUGACCACCUGGGAACACCGCGUGCCGUU